UACGUAGGGGGCAAGCGUUGUCCGGAAUCAUUGGGCGUAAAGAGCGCGUAGGCGGCCCUGUAAGUCCGCUGUGAAAGUCAAGGGCUCAACCCCUUGGAUGCCGGUGGAUACUGCAGGGCUAGAGUCCGGAAGAGGCGAGUGGAAUUCCUGGUGUAGCGGUGAAAUGCGCAGAUAUCAGGAGGAACACCGAUGGCGAAGGCAGCUCGCUGGGACGGUACUGACGCUGAGGCGCGAAAGCGUGGGGAGCAAACAGG
rnacentral:rRNA from 1 species